UAAAACAUAGUGCCAAUUCACCAGAUUCCAUUAAAAUUAUGCAGUUAAGUGCGCUCAGGCUAGAGUAGUACUAGGAUGGGUGACCACCUGGGAAGUCCUAGUGUUUUAC
rfam:Picea glauca, whole genome shotgun sequence.